CAGGGUAUAGACCCGAAACCCGGUGAUCUAGCCAUGGGCAGGUUGAAGGUUGGGUAACACUAACUGGAGGACCGAACCGACUAAUGUUGAAAAAUUAGCGGAUGACCUGUGGCUGGGGGUGAAAGGCCAAUCAAACCGGGAGAUAGCUGGUUCUCCCCGAAAGCUAUUUAGGUAGCGCCUCGUGAAUUCAUCUCCGGGGGUAGAGCACUGUUUCGGCUAGGGGGCCAUCCCGGCUUACCAACCCGAUGCAAACUGCGAAUACCGGAGAAUGUUAUCACGGGAGACACACGGCGGGUGCUAACGUCCGUCGUGAAGAGGGAAACAACCCAGACCGCCAGCUAAGGUCCCAAAGUCAUGGUUAAGUGGGAAACGAUGUGGGAAGGCCCAGACAGCCAGGAUGUUGGCUUAGAAGCAGCCAUCAUUUAAAGAAAGCGUAAUAGCUCACUGGUCGAGUCGGCCUGCGCGGAAGAUGUAACGGGGCUAAACCAUGCACCGAAGCUGCGGCAGCGACGCUGAUGCGUUGUUGGGUAGGGGAGCGUUCUGUAAGCCUGCGAAGGUGUGUCGUGAGGCAUGCUGGAGGUAUCAGAAGUGCGAAUGCUGACAUAAGUAACGAUAAAGCGGGUGAAAAGCCCGCUCGCCGGAAGACCAAGGGUUCCUGUCCAACGUUAAUCGGGGCAGGGUGAGUCGACCCCUAAGGCGAGGCCGAAAGGCGUAGUCGAUGGGAAACGGGUUAAUAUUCCCGUACUUGGUGUUACUGCGAAGGGGGGACGGAGAAGGCUAUGUUGGCCGGGCGACGGUUGUCCCGGUUUAAGCGUGUAGGUGUGUGUUCCAGGUAAAUCCGGUUCACUUUAACACUGAGGCGUGAUGACGAGGCACUACGGUGCUGAAGCAACAAAUGCCCUGCUUCCAGGAAAAGCCUCUAAGCAUCAGGUAACAUCAAAUCGUACCCCAAACCGACACAGGUGGUCAGGUAGAGAAUACCAAGGCGCUUGAGAGAACUCGGGUGAAGGAACUAGGCAAAAUGGUGCCGUAACUUCGGGAGAAGGCACGCUGACACGUAGGUGAAGUGAUUUACUCAUGGAGCUGAAGUCAGUCGAAGAUACCAGCUGGCUGCAACUGUUUAUUAAAAACACAGCACUGUGCAAACACGAAAGUGGACGUAUACGGUGUGACGCCUGCCCGGUGCCGGAAGGUUAAUUGAUGGGGUCAGCGCAAGCGAAGCUCCUGAUCGAAGCCCCGGUAAACGGCGGCCGUAACUAUAACGGUCCUAAGGUAGCGAAAUUCCUUGUCGGGUAAGUUCCGACCUGCACGAAUGGCGUAAUGAUGGCCAGGCUGUCUCCACCCGAGACUCAGUGAAAUUGAACUCGCUGUGAAGAUGCAGUGUACCCGCGGCAAGACGGAAAGACCCCGUGAACCUUUACUAUAGCUUGACACUGAACAUUGAGCCUUGAUGUGUAGGAUAGGUGGGAGGCUUUGAAGUGUGGACGCCAGUCUGCAUGGAGCCGGCCUUGAAAUACCACCCUUUAAUGUUUGAUGUUCUAACGUGGACCCGUGAUCCGGGUUGCGGACAGUGUCUGGUGGGUAGUUUGACUGGGGCGGUCUCCUCCUAAAGAGUAACGGAGGAGCACGAAGGUUGGCUAAUCCUGGUCGGACAUCAGGAGGUUAGUGCAAUGGCAUAAGCCAGCUUGACUGCGAGCGUGACGGCGCGAGCAGGUGCGAAAGCAGGUCAUAGUGAUCCGGUGGUUCUGAAUGGAAGGGCCAUCGCUCAACGGAUAAAAGGUACUCCGGGGAUAACAGGCUGAUACCGCCCAAGAGUUCAUAUCGACGGCGGUGUUUGGCACCUCGAUGUCGGCUCAUCACAUCCUGGGGCUGAAGUAGGUCCCAAGGGUAUGGCUGUUCGCCAUUUAAAGUGGUACGCGAGCUGGGUUUAGAACGUCGUGAGACAGUUCGGUCCCUAUCUGCCGUGGGCGCUGGAGAACUGAGGGGGGCUGCUCCUAGUACGAGAGGACCGGAGUGGACGCAUCACUGGUGUUCGGGUUGUCAUGCCAAUGGCACUGCCCGGUAGCUAAAUGCGGAAGAGAUAAGUGCUGAAAGCAUCUAAGCACGAAACUUGCCCCGAGAUGAGUUCUCCCUGAGACUUAGAGUCUCCUGAAGGAACGUUGAAGACGACGACGUUGAUAGGCCGGGUGUGUAAGCGCAGCGAUGCGUUGAGCUAACCGGUACUAAUGAACCGUGAGGCUUAACCUUACAACGCCGAAG
rnacentral:rRNA from 1 species